UCCGACGCCAGGCAUUUGUACAGAGACGCUCAUCCUGACAAUCGCAGGUAUAAAGGACCGUGUUCUUUUACAAGUAAACACAACUCACUCCAGCAAACCGAUUGUUCUCAGUUAGGGCUCGAUUUAAAUCUCUUUUUGAUUUGGAAAUAUGAAUAGCACAUUUCUUUGGAUGCUUUUAGCUCUAGUUUUAUUAUCUUUUGUAUGCCUGGGAAGCACAUUCACACCCGGUGCGGGAUGUCAUAUAGCUGAGUGCAAGAAACGUCAGGUGGUACGAAAAUACAGCGAUCAACAGCAGGAUUUUAUAAAGGCAUAUUGUGACAAAGUUCGUCCAUGUCCUGGGGUAAACGGAAAACGAACUCUUCCACGGCAGGAAGCUGUACUGGAGAGGGACCAGGAACGUUUCUGACUUGGAAGCCAAUAUGACAUAGCCAGAGUAAUUUAAAAAAAAUUGUUUAGACGACCGCAUAUUUUCCGUAACCCAUGGAAAGAUUAUAUGAAUAUAUAUUUCUGUAAUUAUAAACCUUAGAUAAUAAAUUGUGAAGACUUGGAAUUAUUUUUAGGACUUCAUCAACAUAGUAUCGCGUAAAAUAUCAAUUCCAUUCACGAAAAUAAGUUUAUCAAAGCCUUACAUGGAUUAAACAUUUUUAAAUAUUUUACCUCUUUUUAUCAGAGCUCGCUCGCCACCUUAGCCACUUGCAAAGAUUAUUACGAUAUUAGCUAGAGGAACAUAAAUAUGUAUUCCAACUAAAUUUAGAUAUAAGAUUAAAUUAAAAUAUUACGUGUAUAUUUGGGUCUUCAAUCUUAAAUCCGAGAUACUGAAUUGUGUAGACUUCAUUAACAUAGUAUCGAAUAAAAAUGCAGUUCUAUUUCUCAAAA